GGGGUCAAAGAUUUAUCGGUACAGGAUGGACUCGCGUCCCAUUAGCUAGUUGGCGGGAUAACAGCCCACCAAGGCGACGAUGGGUAGCCGACCUGAGAGGGUGAUCGGCCACACUGGGACUGAGACACGGCCCAGACUCCUACGGGAGGCAGCAGUGGGGAAUAUUGGGCAAUGGGCGCAAGCCUGACCCAGCAACGCCGCGUGAAGGAAGAAGGUCUUCGGAUUGUAACCUUUUGUCGCCGGGAACGAUAAUGACGGUACCCGGUAAGAAAGCCCCGGCUAACUACGUGCCAGCAGCCGCGGUAAUACGUAGGGGGCGAGCGUUGUCCGGAAUUACUGGGCGUAAAGGGCGCGUAGGCGGCCGGAUAAGUUAGAUGUGAAAUCCCCGGGCUCAACCUGGGUGUUGCAUUUAAAACUGUCUGGCUUGAGUGCA
rnacentral:rRNA from 1 species